AUGGCAAAUCUUUUGAUGAGGAUGGAUAGCGAUGUUCCGGCAAUGGGUUUUAUGCAUGGUUGUAUGUUGGAUGCAAAGAAAGAGAUCUCCGUGAGGUUUGACAAUGACAAGUCUCGCUUUCUGGAAGUGUGGGACAUCAUUGACAAGAGAUGGGACAACAAGUUGAAGACUACAUUACAUAUGGCUGGAUACUACUUGAACCCAUACUAUUAUUAUCGAAACAAGCUUGAUAUUUAGAUCGAUGGUAGUUUCAAAGAAGGGCUGAUAACUUGUAUUUCAAAGAUGGUUGAAGAUCCUAUCAUGGAAGAAGAAAUAAUCAAUGAGAUUGACCACUAUCAAGAGGGGAUAGGGUCUUUUGGAAGGGACAUUGCUGUACGGCAAAGGAAAAACAAAAAGUUUGAUCCAGGUAAUUGGUUGCGUAAUUCUUGUUUCUUAUUUUGUUAUCCUGCCUAA
rnacentral:rRNA from 1 species